AUGAAGGUUGUUCCUUGGAGGCCACCCACCCCAGACUUCUACAAGAUUAAUGUCGACGCAAGUUCUGUGGAGGCCAUUGAAGCUGCGAGCGUGGAGGUGGUUGUUAGAAAUCACUGUGGACAAGUGAUCCUUUCCUCCUGGGAUUAUAUUGGUGCUUGCUAUAGCGUCGAGGAAGCGGAACUUAGAGCGGCCUUGUCCGGCCUAUAUAUUGGUAUGACACUAGACAUGCCUGUCAUUUUAGAAACUAAUUGUUCCUUUGUGGCCUCCGUUUCUGGAAGAGACUGUGGACAGAUCAUCCCUUGUUGA
rnacentral:rRNA from 1 species